rnacentral:rRNA from 1 species
UACAGAAGGUGCAAGCGUUGUUCGGAAUUACUGGGCGUAAAGGGCGCGUAGGCGGCCAACUAAGUCAGACGUGAAAUCCCUCGGCUUAACCGGGGAACUGCGUCUGAUACUGGAUGGCUUGAGUUUGGGAGAGGGAUGCGGAAUUCCAGGUGUAGCGGUGAAAUGCGUAGAUAUCUGGAGGAACACCGGUGGCGAAGGCGGCAUCCUGGACCAACACUGACGCUGAGGCACGAAAGCGUGGGGAGCAAACAGG